AAUUCGCCCUUUUAGCAUGGAAUAAUGGAAUAGGAUCACGAUCUUAUUUUGUUGGUUUCUAGGAUCGAGAUAAUGAUUAAUAGGGAUAGUUGGGGGCAUUAAUAUUUAAUUGUCAGAGGUGAAAUUCUUGGAUUUAUGAAAGAUUAACUUCUGCGAAAGCAUUUGCCAAGGAUGUUUUCGUUAAUCAAGAACGAAAGUUAGGGGAUCGAAGACGAUCAGAUACCGUCGUAGUCUUAACCAUAAACUAUGCCGACUAGGGAUUGGUGGGCGAUUAUUAUAUGUCCCCAUCAGCACCUUAUGAGAAAUCAAAGUUUUUGGGUUCCGGGGGGAGUAUGGUCGCAAGGCUGAAACUUAAAGGAAUUGACGGAAGGGCACCACCAGGAGUGGAGCCUGCGGCUUAAUUUGACUCAACACGGGAAAACUCACCAGGUCCGGACAUAGUAAGGAUUGACAGAUUGAGAGCUCUUUCUUGAUUCUAUGGGUGGUGGUGCAUAGCCGUUCUUAGUUGGUGGAGUGAUUUGUCUGGUUAAUUCAGUUAACGAACGAGACCUUAACCUACUAAAUAGUCACGUCAUUUCCGAAUGACGGCGGACUUCUUAGAGGGACUAUCGGAUUUAAACCGAUGGAAGUUUGAGGCAAUAACAGGUCUGUGAUGCCCUUAGAUGUUCUGGGCCGCGCGCGCGCUACACUGACGAAGUCAGCGAGUAUCUCCCUUCACCGGAAGGUGUGGGUAAUCUUGUGAAACUUCGUCGUGCUGGGGAUAGGGCAUUGCAAUAAGGGCGAAUU
rnacentral:rRNA from 1 species